rnacentral:rRNA from 1 species
AGCGAACGCUGGCGGCAGGCCUAACACAUGCAAGUCGAACGAACCUUUCGGGGUUAGUGGCGGACGGGUGAGUAACACGUGGGAACGUGCCUUUAGGUUCGGAAUAACUCAGGGAAACUUAUGCUAAUACCGAAUGUGCCCUUCGGGGGAAAGAUUUAUCGCCUUUAGAGCGGCCCGCGUCUGAUUAGCUAGUUGGUUGAGGUAAUGGCUCACCAAGGCGACGAUCAGUAGCUGGUCUGAGAGGAUGAUCAGCCACAUUGGGACUGAGACACGGCCCAAACUCCUACGGGAGGCAGCAGUGGGGAAUCUUGCGCAAUGGGCGAAAGCCUGACGCAGCCAUGCCGCGUGAAUGAUGAAGGUCUUAGGAUUGUAAAAUUCUUUCAACGGGGACGAUAAUGACGGUACCCGGAGAAGAAGCCCCGGCUAACUUCGUG